UACAGGGGGGGCAAGCGUUGUUCGGAAUUACUGGGCGUAAAGGGCUCGUAGGCGGCCAACUAAGUCCGACGUGAAAUCCCAAAGCUUAACUUUGGAACUGCGUCGGAUACUGGAUGGCUUGAAUUCGGGAGAGGGAUGCAGAAUUCCAGGUGUAGCGGUGAAAUGCGUAGAUAUCUGGAGGAACACCUGAGGUGAAGACGGGUUGCUGGGCUGACACUGACGCUGAGGCGCGAAAGCCAGGGGAGCAAACGGG
rnacentral:rRNA from 1 species